CAGGUUAAUAUUCCUGUACUUGGUGUUACUGCGAAGGGGGGACGGAGAAGGCUAUGUUAGCCGGGCGACGGUUGUCCCGGUUUAAGCAUGUAGGCUGGUUAUCCAGGCAAAUCCGGAUAACCAAGGCUGAGGUGUGAUGACGAGGCACUACGGUGCUGAAGUAACAAAUGCCCUGCUUCCAGGAAAAGCCUCUAAGCAUCAGGUAACAUCAAAUCGUACCCCAAACCGACACAGGUGGUCAGGUAGAGAAUACCAAGGCGCUUGAGAGAACUCGGGUGAAGGAACUAGGCAAAAUGGUGCCGUAACUUCGGGAGAAGGCACGCUGGUGUGUAGGUGAAGUCCCUGCGGAUGGAGCUGAGACCAGUCGAAGAUACCAGCUGGCUGCAACUGUUUAUUAAAAACACAGCACUGUGCAAACACGAAAGUGGACGUAUACGGUGUGACGCCUGCCCGGUGCCGGAAGGUUAAUUGAUGGGGUUAUCCGUAAGGAGAAGCUCUUGAUCGAAGCCCCGGUAAACGGCGGCCGUAACUAUAACGGUCCUAAGGUAGCGAAAUUCCUUGUCGGGUAAGUUCCGACCUGCACGAAUGGCGUAAUGAUGGCCAGGCUGUCUCCACCCGAGACUCAGUGAAAUUGAACUCGCUGUGAAGAUGCAGUGUACCCGCGGCAAGACGGAAAGACCCCGUGAACCUUUACUAUAGCUUGACACUGAACAUUGAGCCUUGAUGUGUAGGAUAGGUGGGAGGCUUUGAAGCGUGGACGCCAGUCUGCGUGGAGCCAACCUUGAAAUACCACCCUUUAAUGUUUGAUGUUCUAACGUUGGCCCCUGACCGGGGUUGCGGACAGUGUCUGGUGGGUAGUUUGACUGGGGCGGUCUCCUCCCAAAGCGUAACGGAGGAGCACGAAGGUUAGCUAAUCCUGGUCGGACAUCAGGAGGUUAGUGCAAUGGCAUAAGCUAGCUUGACUGCGAGCGUGACGGCGCGAGCAGGUGCGAAAGCAGGUCAUAGUGAUCCGGUGGUUCUGAAUGGAAGGGCCAUCGCUCAACGGAUAAAAGGUACUCCGGGGAUAACAGGCUGAUACCGCCCAAGAGUUCAUAUCGACGGCGGUGUUUGGCACCUCGAUGUCGGCUCAUCACAUCCUGGGGCUGAAGUAGGUCCCAAGGGUAUGGCUGUUCGCCAUUUAAAGUGGUACGCGAGCUGGGUUUAGAACGUCGUGAGACAGUUCGGUCCCUAUCUGCCGUGGGCGCUGGAGAAUUGAGGGGGGCUGCUCCUAGUACGAGAGGACCGGAGUGGACGCAUCACUGGUGUUCGGGUUGUCAUGCCAAUGGCACUGCCCGGUAGCUAAAUGCGGAAGAGAUAAGUGCUGAAAGCAUCUAAGCACGAAACUUGCCCCGAGAUGAGUUCUCCCUGAGACUUUAAGUCUCCUGAAGGAACGUUAAAGACGAUGACGUUGAUAGGCCGGGUGUGUAAGCGCAGCGAUGCGUUGAGCUAACCGGUACUAAUGAACCGUGAGGCUUAACCUU
rnacentral:rRNA from 1 species